rnacentral:tRNA from 1 species
GCAGCCGUGGCCUACUGGUUAGUGCUUUGGACUUGUAACCGGAGGGUUGCGGUUCAAACCCGACCAGUAGUC